rnacentral:tRNA from 1 species
GUCUCUGUAGCUUACAGUAAAGCAUAGCACUGAAGAUGUUAAGACGGCUGCCUACACCAUAGCACCCAGGGACA